GAUGAACGCUAGCGGGAGGCUUAACACAUGCAAGCCGAGGGGUAUAUAAUUGCUUGCAAUUAUAGAGACCGGCGGAUGGGUGAGUAACGCGUAUGAAACCUACCCUAUUCAUCAGGAUAGCCCUAGGAAACUGGGAUUAAUACUGAAUAACACUAUUAUCGGCAUCGUUAUUAGUUAAAAGAUUUAUCGGAAUAGGGUGGUCAUGCGUCAGAUUAGUUAGUUGGUAGGGUAACGGCCUACCAAGGCAAUGAUCUGUAGGGGGCCUGAGAGGGUGAUCCCCCACACUGGUACUGAGACACGGACCAG
rnacentral:rRNA from 1 species